ACACGUUGAUCUCGCGAGGUUUACACGCGGGCUCUCGGGGAAACACGCACUGCCGUCCAUCUGUCACAGAAAUGAACUUUUCCGCAGCAAAAAAUGAAAUUAAGAACUUGCUCUCCACAGUUCUGCCAACCGAUCUUUCACGGGUCAUUGAUUGGAUGAAAAACUCAGAGGAGCUGGAGGAGCUGCUGGUGGAGAACGAGGCGGUGGUUCUGAGGAGCAUCGCCGAGGAGCUGAGGAGCGGCCUCCCGGUGGAGGCCAUGCUCGUCUCGGAGCGCCUGGCCCUGCAGAAGAUGCAGCAGCAGCCCCAGCCGGCGGUGCACGUGGAUGCCUUCCUGUACGACGAGGAGCAGGUGGACUCCCUGUGUGAGGACGGCCGGCUCAGCCGCACUUUCUGCCGGAGCUGCGGGUCCCACCUCACCGCCCCCCUCGAGUUCAUCUCCCACUCGUUCUCCAUCUCGGAGCUCCGGUUCCUCUUCCAGAACGUUCUUCCAGACCUGGCGGGUAGAACCCUGCUGGACGUGGGCUCUAGACUGGGGGCGGUUCUGUACGGGGGGUACGUGUACAGUGCUGCUGCACGGCUGGUUGGAGUGGAGAUCUCUGAGGAAUUUGUCAGACUGCAGAACGGAGUGCUGGAGAAGUACGGCUUCACAGACCGCAUGCAGGUGUUACAUGCAGAUGUUUGCUCUCAGCCAGCCGUGGUCCAGCAAGCAGAUGUUCUGGUCAUGAACAACGUCUUUGAGUUCUUUAUGGAACCCAGUGAACAGAUAAAAGCGUGGCAGUUUAUUAUCCAUAACUUCCGGAGGAAAGGGUGUUUGCUGGUGACGGUUCCCAGUCUUAAGGAGGCCUUCUCUGCUCUACAGGGGGAGGGGCUAGACGCCAGCCAAUGGGUUGAAGAGCUUCCUAUCGAUUAUGAUGUGAACCUGGGAGGAGAGAGCGACCCAGACGCCCUGAGACAGAUCCACCUGUACAGGGUGCUCUGACCCGACCUCUACAGGUAACUCUACAGGUGACUCUACGGGUGACUUUAUCUCUACAUGUGACUCUACGGGUGACUCCACCUCUACAGGUGACUCUACGGGUGACUCCACCUCUACAGGUGACUCUACGGGUGACUCCACCUCUACAGGUGACUCUACGGGUGACUCCACCUCUACAGGUGACUCUACGGGUGACUCCACCUCUACAGCUCCGUCCAGACUCUGUCCAGCUGCUCCGUCCGGACCACCACACGAAGGGUUCCAGCACAAUCAGAAUCUCAACAUUGCUUCAUAGUUUGGAGGGUUUACAUAUUUUUAUACAAAUAUUUGUGUUUGUUGUGUUCCCUAACUAAACAAAUAAAGUUGGGUCAUUUCCUCUUGUUA